ensembl:misc_RNA Metazoa_SRP Metazoan signal recognition particle RNA
GCUGGGCGCAGUGGCGCGUGCCUGUAAUCCCAGCUACUCGGGAGGCUGAGGCUGGAGGCAGGGGUUCUGGGCUGCAGUGUGCUGUGCCGAUCGGGUGUCCGCACUAAGUUCGGCAUCAAUAUGGUGACCUUCCGGGAGUCGGGGACCACCAGGUUGCCUAAGGAGUGGUGAACCAGCCCAGGUCGGAAACGGAGCAGGUCAAAACUCCCGUGCUGAUCAGUAGUGGGAUCGCGCCUGUGAAUAGCCACUGUACUCCAGCCUGGGCAACAUAGCGAGACCCCGUCUCU